CGAACGGGUGAGUAAUACAUCGGAACGUGCCCAGACGUGAGGGAUAACGAGGCGAAAGCUUUGCUAAUACCGCAUACGAUCUAAGGAUGAAAGCAGGGGACCGCAAGGCCUUGCGCGUUUGGAGCGGCCGAUGGCAGAUUAGGUAGUUGGUGGGAUAAAAGCUUACCAAGCCGACGAUCUGUAGCUGGUCUGAGAGGACGACCAGCCACACUGGGACUGAGACACGGCCCAG
rnacentral:rRNA from 1 species